UGAUACUACUGCGCCCAGUGGGUCGAUUUUUGACCGUUCGCAAAUAAAAACGACGUUCGUUUUUUUUUAUAAAAUUGACGCUGUCCUAAUUUUGACUAUUCGUUUUUUUAAGUCGUUCGUUUAUUUGCGUACGUAAAUUUGCGGAUGGUAGAUGCAUAUACUUAAAUUAUAAAGCGUACAAUUUAUAGAGUCAAUUACGAGUGUUGUCAAUUUACAAAAUAUUAAUAAUACUUAAUUGAUUGCGAGUAUGGAAGAGUUUAUUAACUAUAUGGCAAUAAGAAAUUUAGAAGAAGCAGAAGAAAUGUAUAGGCCUAAUCGCCAGCGUUUCCCGCGGAAUCCUAUGUUGGAAUUAAGCGAAACACAAUUUAUCAAAAUGUUUCGGCUAUCAAAUGAAUUAUUUAAUUACGUAGUAGAUCGCUUAGAGCCCUAUAUUCGUCUGCAACGAAGAAAUUCAGAUUUAAGUACCGAAACAAAGGUCUCUGACUACCUUGCUGCAUUAUAAAACUAAAAUCAUAAUUAUUCAGGUUUUAAUUGCCCUAAAUUUUUUUGCUACCGGUUCAUAUCAAACAAAUGUUGGUGUUAACAAAUACAUUGAUGUUUGCCAAUCAAGCGUAAGUGUUUGUAUCAAAGAGGUUGUUAAUGCUGUAACACAGCAAGAUAUUUAUAACGAAUGGGUACAUUUUUCUGAUACUUUCGAAGCUUUAAGAAAAACAAGGCAAGGGUAAGUACUCAACAAUUUUGUUUUAAGUAUGGACCUACCUUUGUAAAGAUAAGUAGGUAUUUCAUAGCUGUAUGGGGCACAAGUAUAUUAGUUUCUAUUUUUCUACAGUGUCUUUUUAGCUUUUUUGAGAAGCACGGAUUUCCGGGGGUUGUAGGGUGUAUUGAUUGUACCCAUGUAGCGAAUGAUAAUAAUCAAGAACAUCUAUAUAUAAAUAGAAAAUUCUAUCAUUCCAUAAAUGUGCAACUUAUUUGUGACUCUGAUUUAAAAAUAUUAAAUGUAAAUGCCCGAUUUCCUGAUGCGUACAUAUGGAAUCAAUCUGCUGUCCAAGAUGUUAUGCGCGUCAUGCAUACCGCAGGAGAAAAUGACUGUUUUCUUUUAGGAGAUUCCGGAUAUCCUUUACGGACUUGGCUUUUGACUCCAUUUGCCCAAGUUGUUGAUCAAUCUCCAGAAGCUCACUACAACACAAUACACAAAAACACCAGAGUUAAAAUAGAAUGUUGUAAUGGAGUACUACCGAUUUCGCUGUCUUCUCAAACAUCGAGUCCUUCAUUAUACCCCUGACGUAGCAUGUAAAAUAAUUACUGCUUGUGUUAUCUUACACAAUAUGUGCAUAUACUAUAAUAUUCCUGAACCUGAUGAAGAAAACGAGGAAAUAGUUGAUAUGGGUUUAAUAGAUGCACAAAAUAUAGACGAAAAUGACGGUGCUAACGGAGAGCGCAGAGUUAAUCCCGAAUUGGCGGACGGGAGAUUGGCAAGAAGUAGAAUAGUUCGACAGUUGUAUUUGGCAAGACGGCGUUAGGUACCUACUAGUAAAAACUAUUUUGUUAUAAAAAAUCAAUAAAUAAAUCAUACUAUUAA